UACAGAGGGUGCGAGCGUUGUCCGGAAUCACUGGGCGUAAAGGGCGCGUAGGCGGCCUGGUAAGUAGGGGGUGAAAUCCUGCGGCUCAACCGCAGGGCUGCCUUCUAAACUGUCAGGCUCGAGCACGGUAGAGGCAGAUGGAAUUCCCGGUGUAGCGGUGGAAUGCGUAGAGAUCGGGAAGAACAUCAGUGGCGAAGGCGGUCUGCUGGGCCGUUGCUGACGCUGAGGCGCGACAGCGUGGGGAGCAAACAGG
rnacentral:rRNA from 1 species